rnacentral:rRNA from 1 species
ACUGGCAAGCUAGAGUCUCGUAGAGGGGGGUAGAAUUCCAGGUGUAGCGGUGAAAUGCGUAGAGAUCUGGAGGAAUACCGGUGGCGAAGGCGGCCCCCUGGACAAAGACUGACGCUCAGGUGCGAAAGCGUGGGGAGCAAACAGGAUUAGAUACCCUGGUAGUCCACGCUGUAAACGAUGUCGAUUUGGAGGUUGUGCCCUUGAGGCGUGGCUUCCGGAGCUAACGCGUUAAAUCGACCGCCUGGGGAGUACGGCCGCAAGGUUAAAACUCAAAUGAAUUGACGGGGGCCCGCACAAGCGGUGGAGCAUGUGGUUUAAUUCGAUGCAACGCGAAGAACCUUACCUACUCUUGACAUCCAGAGAACUUUCCAGAGAUGGAUUGGUGCCUUCGGGAACUCUGAGACAGGUGCUGCAUGGCUGUCGUCAGCUCGUGUUGUGAAAUGUUGGGUUAAGUCCCGCAACGAGCGCAACCCUUAUCCUUUGUUGCCAGCGCGUUCGGCCGGGAACUCAAAGGAGACGGCCAGUGAUAAACUGGAGGAAGGUGGGGGAUGACGUCAAGUCAUCAUGGCCCUUACAAUUAGGGCUACACACGUGCUACAAUGG